CUGGAAAGUGUUCCAAAAAACAUUAAAGUGUCUAAAAAUAUCAUGACAUCGCAAUUUUUAUACCCUAUGCCCAUUAUAAAUGGACAGUUAAGGAUAUAAAGUGUUUUUUUUAUUCACUAUUCCUUGUGAAAACAAUUGUAUUUAAUCACUUCAGCUUUAAAUCAUGAUCGUCAUAUAAUGCACAGUUUUGCAGUCAUUACAAAAAGUAUAGCUGAUUUUCCAAUUCAUCUCAAAUGCAGGAUGAAUAGAAAUGUAAACUCGAUGCUAAACAUUUUUCUGGACAUCCAAGAAAUGGAGAAGAAUGCAGCUUGGAGCAAGAAUCGAUGAACUCAGCUUCUCACUUGGUGUUACCGAUGAUAAGUCGCGGUCAAACAAGACUUAAAUUUGAUUAAUAUUUAAAAUAUUCGGGGAAUCUUUUAAAUUUUAAUCAAAUGGCAUCUUGAGUUGAUCCCGAUUUAUUAACGGUGGCCUCAAGUGAAGAGCAUAGUUUGAAGAUUCUUGCUCGCAAAGAAUGCUAGAGAAGAUCGAGAGAAAAAUAUCAUAAAACGCACAUCAGUAAUGUUUUAGAAAAUCAACUGAUGAUAGAUGUUAUACGCCCAACGAUAGUUCUCCACGAAUCAGAUUGUGUUCGUCUUUGGAUUAGAAGUCCUCCAAUAAAAUGCCGCUUUAUAGAUUGCUGAACGAAUGCCUUCCAGAAAAAUGCUGUAGACUUUCCUUUUCAACGCUGAAAUGUGACGCCUUCUAUGAUAUGUUGCUCUCGAAAAUUCUUUCUCGUAAAAAAUGCUAAAGAAGAAGAAAAAACGAAAUAAACCCGGUCAAUACUCCAUUCAAUAUAACCUCAGACGGAAGACGGAAGAGAUCAACUCUUCAAACUGCAAGUUUAAAAACGCUACCAGAAAAGAAAUCUCCUUGAAGUCAUCUGCAUCCAGUAAAUCAAAAAGGAGAAUCCUCAGAAUGCAACCCGAAUAAAGAAUUUGAUUCAUUUCCCAGAUCUUAAUAUCAUAAAA